UUCUUUCACAAGUUCAUUUAGGUUACAAACUUUUCAGCUUCUCCCAAAACUCCCCGAACUUCUCCCUCCUGCUUCUUCCCACCACCACCCGCGUCAUUCACCACCGCCAUUGCUACCCUACCCUCUACUAUCAUCUUCUCCAGCACCCAGGUCACCGAAAACACCGCCACCCCAGCCGCCUCAUCUCCUCUCUUGGGUAAGGAUCGACAAUAGCAAUCCUCAAUUUCGUUAUCGUUCUGCAAUUGAAGUUGAAGCUCGUCAAUAGGAAUCCCCAAUUUUUCUUUCAUCAUAUGUAACCAAGGUGCAACAAUUGCAGGGAUUUUUCUUCUCUCUCCUCAUUUAUCUUCCUCAACAAUGGAGAUUACUCCUCUUAUGACAGUUGAAAAACAUACGCCUAACUGACAUCAAUAGCCUGAGUUCGAGUGACAUUGUUGCGUGUUUCAGCUUUUGUUUAUCAAUAAUUACUGUUGCGUAUUGAAAUCCAAAUUACUUGCAUUGUCCAUCCGGUAGCAUACAGUAAGUAUUUUUAAUGACGUACCUAGCAGGGGUGAGUUAUGUAUUAAAGUUAAGGGAAGUGCUAAGAAGAUUAACGUUUCAUUUUCUGUCAAGAGUAGUCACACCAUUAUCACAUGCUUGUAUUUGAAUUUUAUGUGUAAUCGCUGCUUUGUCGUGUUAGGGAUGAUUCUAGUUGAAUUUUUUAAAGUUAACCUGGUUAAUUAUGCAUAUAUGACUAUAUAGAGAACAAGAAGAUUAAUUGGAGCUGGAUACUGUGUGUGCCGUGAUAGUACAAAAAUUAUAUUAUGAUAUAUUAGAACAUAAUUCUUUCCCUCCUCCCCCUCUUAAAAUAAUCCUUGGUAUGGAUUCUUUUCUUUUGACAUAAAUUAGCUUUCUUAAUUGGUGUUUGUUUUUAAGUUAAACCAAACACAACUAAUUUAAUUUUGAUUCUGUUGAAGUUCUUUAUGGAACAACUAUUACAAUAUGUAUUAUCACCCAUAUAUUAGGAUAAUGACAUAAUAUGGUGAAAUUUUCAUUUUAAAAAUGGUUAUUGUUACCACUUUCAAGAAUGUCUGAUGAACAUGAAUAUACAUGAAAAAAAUUGAAUCAUGAUGCCAUAUCUAUAAAAAUAAAGAAGAAAUAAGUAGUACUCCUAGCAUUUUAUAAGGACGACCCGUGUUUUUCAAUUAGUUGUUUUACGUUCUUCGGUACUUGUGCUAGUUUACAUAAAAACACGGAUAACGAAUCUUAACUUGUUGUUUAGUAUUGUUGCAGAUGAUUCAUUGGUGAGGAGAGCUUCAAUGGCUUCACAACGAAGUUUAGUAGAGAAGACGUACAGAACCUGAUGAUUGAGUUGAGGGAGUGCAUAGUUACAUUUUGCAGAUAUGAGAACACAUACAUGUUCCUACAUUAUGGUUCCAUGUUGAGGGAGUGCAUAGUUACAUACGUCAUCAAGUUGUAGCAAAUGCAGGAUACACCGCGGGACUAAGUUCAUGCAGCGUGGAGAGUCUGGAGACCAGAAUACGAUCAUGGCUUUAAGGAUACUAGUAUACUUCCAAUUAGUGAGCUGCUAAUGCAACAUUCAUAUGCUCUGGAGAAGCAGCCUGCCCCCCAUAUAUUGCUCACUGCUCACUGUGAUAAGAGUUCUAAACUCGACUUGCCAUUUUGUUGUGUGCAUGAUUCGACACUGGCUAGGACAAAUCAGUUGAUCCUUGUGGUUACAUACUUAGAUGCUUGUGAAAGUUUCCUCUCUGUAUAUAAUUUGUUAAAAUGCUCGUGUUAGUGUUAGUUGUGUUAACUUAUAUUGUUAUACAAUAUUAAAUAUUGAAUUCUUUACUUGUAAA